AUGCGGUGUUUCCAGUAAAGGCAGAGAAUGUACUCUGUUCUGGCUUUCAGACUUUCCUGGCUUUUCAGUCCAAUGUCUUUUUGGUUAGACCAGGGAGAUCUUCAGAUUUUUCCUUCCCCAUCUUUUAGAUCCAGCUACUCUUUGAAGAGGCCAAGCACAUGGGAUGGGGCAUGCUGCACAGUGGCGGCUGUGUCCUUACUGGAUCUGACCUGCCAUCCUAGCACCCCGGGGAGCCUCGUCUGUGCCCACGUGCCACACAUCUCAGACCCUGUUUCCUUCUUUCCUGAACUCCAGCAGUUCUCAGACUCACCACCUGCUGUAGUGCCUCCAUGACAAACUUGUCACUGAUGCGUAAGCAUCCCAGAGCCUGCAGGAAGAGGGAUGGAGGAAAGAGAAGGAACCGUGGACAUCAUCCCCAGGAGUUACCAUUCUCUGGACACAGCUGGAGUUUGUGCUUGGAAUACCACCCCCACAACCACCAUCACGUCAAGCAGCUUUUUGUUUUCCAGCUUGGCCAACUCCUGGCUGUAACCACCCUCCUCUAUCCUUGCCUCUUCUCACCUGUGCUGCAUAGAACUGCUCAUCCUCUCUGGGAGAUUCCAGGCUUUUUGUGAGUUCCUGCCCAUCCAAGGCAGCCAGUGGAAAGGAAGACAGAGAAAAAUAAAGAAUUUCAAACU
rnacentral:sRNA from 1 species